AUGCCUACGGGACGCAGCAGUGGGGGAUAUUGGACAAUGGGGGAAACCCUGAUCUAGCGAUGCCGCGUGAGGGAAGAAGGUUUUCGGAUUGUAAACCUCUGUGGAGGGGGACGAUAAUGACGGUACCCCUUUAGGAAGCCACGGCUAACUACGUGCCAGCAGCCGCGGUAAUACGUAGGUGGCGAGCGUUGUCCGGAAUUACUGGGUGUAAAGGGAGUGUAGGCGGCCCUGCAAGUCAGAAGUGAAAUCCAUGGGCUUAACCCGUGAACUGCUUUUGAAACUGCAGGACUUGAGUGGAGUAGAGG
rnacentral:rRNA from 1 species